rnacentral:rRNA from 1 species
GAUGAACGCUAGCGGCAGGCUUAACACAUGCAAGUCGAGGGGUAUGGUUCUUCGGAACCAGAGACCGGCGCACGGGUGCGUAACGCGUAUGCAACCUACCUUGAUCUGGGGGAUAGCCCGAAGAAAUUCGGAUUAAUACCUCAUAGUAUAACAUGACCGCAUGGUCGAGUUAUUAAAGUCACAACGGUAAAAGAUGAGCA